CCUACGGGUGGCAGCAGUGAGGAAUAUUGGUCAAUGGGCGCGAGUCUGAACCAGCCAAGUAGCGUGAAGGAUGACUGCCCUAUGGGUUGUAAACUUCUUUUAUAUAGGAAUAAAAUGUGCCACGUGUGGGAUUUUGUAUGUACCAUAUGAAUAAGGAUCGGCUAACUCCGUGCCAGCAGCCGCGGUAAUACGGAGGAUCCGAGCGUUAUCCGGAUUUAUUGGGUUUAAAGGGAGCGUAGAUGGGUUGUUAAGUCAGUUGUGAAAGUUUGCGGCUCAACCGUAAAAUUGCAAUUGAAACUGGCAGUCUUGAGUACAGUAGAGGUGGGCGGAAUUCGUGGUGUAGCGGUGAAAUGCUUAGAUAUCACGAAGAACUCCGAUUGCGAAGGCAGCUUACUGGACUGCCACUGACACUGAGGCUCGAAAGUGUGGGUAUCAAACAGGAUUAGAUACCCCAGUAGUC
rnacentral:rRNA from 1 species